CUCGCACCACGGUGGUCUCCACUUCUUUUUUUAUACUCGUAGAAAAACUGAGGCUGUUAUCUUCCCGCGACUCAUAUCACUCUCUCUCUCUCUCUUCCUCUCAUACUGGAUACUUUUACAUUAAUGGCCUCCAUUUCGACUCUUGGAAUUCCAUUCCAAUCCCCCGGAAGAGCUUCAACAUCCACAACAUGGCGCAGACCGAUUGCAGCUCUAACUUCUCAUCAUCCUGAUGUUUGUAUUAAAAAAUGUGCCGGGGUCAUCGAGAGAAGACAAGUUAUAAUGUUAUCUGUUGGGUUCCUGGCCGGAGCAGCUCUGCAGCAUUCCUCUUCAAAUAAAGAUGCUGCAGCCAUGGCAGCCGAAUUCACUGACAUGCCAGCUAUCAGGGGGAAGGAUUAUGGCAAAACAAAAAUGCGGUAUCCGGACUACACAGAAACAGAAUCAGGUCUUCAGUAUAAGGACUUGCGAGCAGGAAGUGGUCCCUUGCCUAAGAUGGGAGAGACAGUUGUGGUCGAUUGGGAUGGUUACACCAUAGGAUACUAUGGUCGCAUAUUUGAAGCUCGAAACAAGACAAAAGGUGGCUCCUUUGAGGGAGAUGACAAGGACUUCUUCAAAUUCAGACUAGGGUCCAGAGAGGUUAUACCUGCUUUUGAAGAAGCUGUUUCAGGAAUGGCUCCGGGUGGCAUUAGAAGUAUGCUUCACAGCGAUGCAGGAUCAUUGUGCCCCCAGAACUAGGAUAUCCUGAGAAUGACUACAACAAGAGUGGGCCAAGACCAACAACAUUUUCGGGUCAACGAGCCUUGGAUUUUGUGUUGAGGAACCAAGGGCUGAUAGACAAAACUUUGCUGUUCGAUAUUGAACUCCUUAAAGUAAUCCCAGGCUAACUCCGAGCUGAUUCCCCUGUCAGGGUGGACGUAUUCCACUAUUGCCGUCAAACAUUCGGGUUAGAUUUUGUUCUUUUGGGUAUUGAAAUAGAGGUCAAUAUAUAUUACUGUAUAUCCACAUCAAAAUCUGAAAGGAAGUUUUGAAUUUGACCACCUUGUUCCUCGAGAAGAUUCUUUUUCUAUCUGGCUUUUGUUUGUGCAACAUCAUUGCCAAGGUAUUUUAGGCGAAAGAUAGAAUUGCAUCUUGGUUUGCUAGCUGUGAACAUGGAUGAAUCUUCGUUGUUUGAUUUCUGCUGCUUCAAUUGGAAAUUCCAGGACAUCAAAUAAUUGCAUAA